rnacentral:other from 1 species
CAUAGACGGUAUACAUUGUUCAGCCAACAUCACGCUACUGGGAGCCAGAUUGAGAAUGUGGUGAGCAUGCUUAGCCUAGCUAAGACGCCUAAAGCAUUCCGGAGGAGUCCACCUUGAUGAAAAGGACUGUACUCAAUCUUACUGUCUAUCC